GCUAGAAGGUUCGUUCUGCGGUACCGCGGAUGAAAUGACGCCUUGCCAUUUUAUGGAUAUUAAUCUGGAUCGUGAUACGAAAAGAUAAAGAAAAAUCCCAGAAAGCCGAGCAAAACCCAUAGAUGGUAUAGCAUAUCGCAUCAAAUCUGACACUCUGCAAUGUUGCGGUCGACCUCCGCUACUCUGCUUCAUCGGCAUUGGCACCUUAUCGCCUGCCACCAGUAUUCCCAGCUUCGUCUACGUCGAACAACCUGUUUCUUUUGAGUUACCAAUGCAUUUCAGAUAAGCCGCAUGGAGAAAGCCGUAGCAGCGUUCUUGGUUGACCCAACCCAGUGUUACGCACUAGUGGGUCGUCGUAAACUCUUCUGCUCUAAAGCGUAGCGCACCUUCAACCGUCAUUAGUGUGCGCUCAAGGUCACGCUAACGAGAGGCCUCAAAUGUAGGUGUUGAAAAAGAGUGUGGACAGUAGAAGGUUCAAGCGGAUGCACCAGAUAUGACCCGUUGGAUCCGCGCUGGGUCCGAUGAAAAAAGCCGUCGACGAAAGAAAGAGACUGAAUAUGAGGUCACUACUAAGGAAGAAACCAAGCUGGCGUUUCAGUAACAAAGUAAAGGGCAAAAACGUUCAGACUUGGUAGAACCUGCGGGAUCGAGAAGCAGUGCGGCGCGUCAAUACUCGGCAGAACUCCGACCUAGCGACGAAACGAUCGUGUUAGUUCCGAGUCGGUGACAUUGGGAACGAUGUUAAUGCGGACUAAUUGAUUAACCCUAUCGUAGAGAAAUAAAAUGAAAUACAAUUUUGUAAAAUGAGUGGGGCAUUUGCGUUUGACGAUCUCUUCCACCUGUUAAAGUCUUUUCCUCAAUUUAGGGGUUGCAUUCUUCUCACGUUUUGUAAUUGACUUUUAACAGUUGG